UACGUAGGGGCUAGCGUUGUCCGGAAUCAUUGGGCGUAAAGAGCGUGUAGGCGGCCAGGUAGGUCUGCUGUGAAAACUCGAGGCUCAACCUCGAGACGUCGGCGGAAACCAUCUGGCUAGAGUCCGGAAGAGGAGAGUGGAAUUCCGUGGUGUAGCGGUGGAAUGCGCAGAUAUCAGGAGGAACACCGGUGGCGAAGGCGGGUCUCUGGGCCGAUACUGACGCUGAGGAGCGAAAGCGUGGGGAGCGAACAGG
rnacentral:rRNA from 1 species